rnacentral:rRNA from 1 species
CAGCCGCCGCGGUAAUGCGUAGGUGGCAAGCGUUGUCCGGAAUUAUUGGGCGUAAAGGGCUCGCAGGCGGUUUCUUAAGUCUGAUGUGAAAGCCCCCGGCUCAACCGGGGAGGGUCAUUGGAAACUGGGAAACUUGAGUGCAGAAGAGGAGAGUGGAAUUCCACGUGUAGCGGUGAAAUGCGUAGAGAUGUGGAGGAACACCAGUGGCGAAGGCGACUCUCUGGUCUGUAACUGACGCUGAGGAGCGAAAGCGUGGGGAGCGAACAGGAUUAGAGACCCCAGUAGUCCCUGUCUCUUAUAC